AACGUAGGAGACAAACGUUAUCCGGAGUUACUGGGCGUAAAGGGCGUGUAGGCGGUUAGUUAAGUCUGGCGUGAAAGCUCUCGGCUAAACCGGGAGAGGUCGUUGGAUACUGGCAAACUAGAGGACGGUAGAGGCGUGUGGAAUUCCGGGGUGUAGCGGUGGAAUGCGUAGAGAUCCGGAAGAACACCGGAGGCGAAGGCGGCUGCUGGGCAUUGGUCUGACGCUGAG
rnacentral:rRNA from 1 species